AGUGAUCGGCCAUUCUGACA
rnacentral:miRNA from 1 species